GACGAAGGGGGCUAGCGUUGUUCGGAAUUACUGGGCGUAAAGCGCGUGUAGGCGGUUGCCAUAGUCAGGUGUGAAAGCCUUGAGCUCAACUCAAGAAAUGCACUUGAUACUGGGCGACUAGAGGACCGGAGAGGAUAGUGGAAUUCCCAGUGUAGUGGUGAAAUACGUAGAGAUUGGGAAGAACACCAGUGGCGAAGGCGGCUAUCUGGACGGUUUCUGACGCUAAGACGCGAAAGCGUGGGGAGCAAACGGG
rnacentral:rRNA from 1 species